GCCAGGAGCAGUGGCGCACACCUGUAAUCCCAGCAACUCUGGAGGCCGAGGCAGGAGGAUUGCAAGUUUAAGGCCAGCCUCAGCAACUGAGCAAGGCCCUAAGACCUUGUCUCAA
rnacentral:sRNA from 1 species